GACGAACGCUGGCGGCGUGCUUAACACAUGCCAGUCGAACGGAAAGGCCCUUCGGGGUACUCGAGUGGCGAACGGGUGAGUAACACGUGGGUGAUCUGCCCUGCACUUUGGUAUAAGCCUGGGAAACUGGGUCUAAUACCGAAUAGGACCACGCGCUUCAUGGUGUGUGGUGGAAAGCUUUUGCGGUGUGGGAUGGGCCCGCGGCCUAUCAGCUUGUUGGUGGGGUAAUGGCCUACCAAGGCGACGACGGGUAGCCGGCCUGGGAGGGUGACCGGCCACACUGGGACUGAGAUACGGCCCAGACUCCUACGGGAGGCAGCAGUGGGGAAUAUUGCACAAUGGGCGCAAGCCUGAUGCAGCGACGCCGCGUGAGGGAUGACGGCCUUCGGGUUGUAAACCUCUUUCACCAGGGACGAAGCGUAAGUGACGGUACCUGGAGAAGAAGCACCGGCCAACUACGUG
rnacentral:rRNA from 1 species